rnacentral:rRNA from 1 species
AGUCGAACGAAGUCUUCGGACUUAGUGGCGGACGGGUGAGUAACACGUGGGAACGUGCCUUUAGGUUCGGAAUAACUCAGGGAAACUUGUGCUAAUACCGAAUGUGCCCUUCGGGGGAAAGAUUUAUCGCCUUUAGAGCGGCCCGCGUCUGAUUAGCUAGUUGGUGAGGUAAAGGCUCACCAAGGCGACGAUCAGUAGCUGGUCUGAGAGGAUGAUCAGCCACAUUGGGACUGAGACACGGCCCAAACUCCUACGGGAGGCAGCAGUGGGGAAUCUUGCGCAAUGGGCGAAAGCCUGACGCAGCCAUGCCGCGUGAAUGAUGAAGGUCUUAGGAUUGUAAAAUUCUUUCACCGGGGACGAUAAUGACGGUACCCGGAGAAGAAGCCCCGGCUAACUUCGUGCCAGCAGCCGCGGUAAUACGAAGGGGGCUAGCGUUGCUCGGAAUUACUGGGCGUAAAGGGAGCGUAGGCGGACAUUUAAGUCAGGGGUGAAAUCCCGGGGCUCAACCUCGGAAUUGCCUUUGAUACUGGAUGUCUUGAGUGUGAGAGAGGUAUGUGGAACUCCGAGUGUAGAGGUGAAAUUCGUAGAUAUUCGGAAGAACACCAGUGGCGAAGGCGACAUACUGGCUCAUUACUGACGCUGAGGCUCGAAAGCGUGGGGAGCAAACAGGAUUAGAUACCCUGGUAGUCCACGCCGUAAACGAUGAUUGCUAGUUGUCGGGAUGCAUGCAUUUCGGUGACGCAGCUAACGCAUUAAGCAAUCCGCCU